ACGCACUAGUGUUUUCCUUUUCAGUUAGUACAAUGUUUGAAAAAAAAAUCGGGGGAUAUCGACAAGGAUGAGAUAUCACUGAGCUUUGGGUUUGUGAUUCUUUUCUCUUGAAGCGCUUUCCUGAAAUAUUUAUGUUAUCUGCACUAAAACCUUUCUCCUGUCUCUGUUGUUAAAGUCCUGAAAAGCUCCAUGAACGUGGAGUGCAAGAUUAUCUGGUAUGCCAUACUGUUUUUGUGGAGUUGAGUUUAGAUUGUUGAGCAUCUGGAGUGAACUUAUCUUGUUGAUCGCAGCAUUGCGGAGCAUUAAUCUAUUUUGCGGGACUACCUUGGUUCUGUUGAGGAGCAUGAUCAGUCAGUGUCAUGAUGGUCAAAAUCUGGUCUUUCAAAAAUGAGGGAUUUGUAAGAGUCUGCAGUCGCUGCAGAGGGUCUACAUUUGACUAAAAGGCGGCUAACUCUGGGAAGCCUACAGAGAAUAUGAGACGGCUAUUCUGACCAUUAGUGAUGGUGAUGGUGAUGAUGAGGAGAAAGCAAUACAGACGAUCCAGAUUCCCAAAUAUUCAUUGUGUUCCCCCAAAUGUCUGUUUAAAGAAUGGCCAGUGACCAAGAUGUGCAAUGCAUGGAAGCGGUACGACUCUAUGAGGAUCAACUGGGCGACAUGGCUGGAUCCAAUGCUAACAAACUGCAAGGGUUUCUGGCAAAUGGUGACAAACUGCUACCAACAGAAAGAAAAGAACAGUCAUGCGGGAGCUACUACGUUUGAAGAGUAUGAAAUGCAUGACUUGACUCGAAGCCGGAAAGCAGUCCAGAGAACAGUUCAACCUUUGAAAAGUUCUCUCUGUCCGUUCCAGAUGUCUUGCUUGAGGUUCUUCCUAGGUCGUUCGGUAAUACCCAGAAGUAAGAAAAGAAUGGGAUGUGUGCAUUUUCGUAGUGACACAAGAAGCAUCUUGUGAUCACUUGGACAAGGCCUCCAGCAGCAAAGCAUGGCGUUCCUGUUCCAGCUACCAGCAAAGAAACCACAAUGCUCUGCUUUGGAAACCAUCAUGCUCUGCUUUGAAGUUCACGAAAAUGGGUUGAAAAACAAAACAAAAUGAUCGGAGCAUUUCUGCCGGCUGGUCGAAGUCUAGCACAUGUUUCUAUAUAUUGUUGGGCUUAGGUUUGCCAUCCGAGAAAAAGCAGCUGAAAAUGCCUACAGAAAUGCAAGCAUAAGCCAAAGACUUCAGGAACCAUGCAUCUUGACUGCCUGCUGAGUCUAUUCACCACAGCCACCGUAAUAUUUUUCUCACCAAAUAGCCUGUCAACCACGGCAUGCAUGACCCAGACCAUGCAAAAUGAUUCCCACCAUCUGCACUUUAUAAAGGGAACAUACUCCUACUGUCCUACACCAUUGGAAGCCGCAAAGCCAGCAGCAAAAUGGUGGCUACUCCCAUUCUGCACCACCUCCACAUCCUCACGCUCCUCCUCAUAUGCUCCUGUUCCAUGCACGCUUCAGCCAACACCACCACCACCGUCACCGUCCCCUGCCUCCCAGACCAAGCCUCAGCCCUCCUCCACCUCAAACAUUCCUUCACCCAUGCAAACCUACCGUCAUGGCGAGACGGAGAGGACUGCUGCCGCUGGGAGGGCGUCGCCUGCGACGCAGCCUCCGGAAGGGUCAUCUCCCUGAACCUCAGCAGCAUCGACGCGGCGAUCCGCCGUGUCGACCCCGCACUCCUCAACCUCACCUCCCUCAAGAUCCUGAGCCUCAGCACCACACGCAUUUCCGUGGGGCUAUCUUCACUGAGCAAGCUCCCAUCACUGAGCAGUCUGGAGCUUCACGGGUCGAGCUCCUGGAACCCAGCAGGUCCGGAGCUAUCUUCGGUUGGCGAUAUCAGGCAGCUGACAUCUUUGCGCCUCGAGGGCUAUGAUUUAUCUUGGUCACAGACCUCUUGGAUCGGCAAUCUGACGGGCUUGGUGUACCUGCGCAUGAAUAGUUGCAGUUUCACCGGGCCCAUGCCUGAUCAGAUUGGAACUCUUGCAAAGCUGACACUGCUGGAUUUAGAAAAUUGCAACUACACCGGGCAACCGGUUCCUUCAUGGAUCGGAAAUCUUACCAGGUUGACAAAGUUGGGGAUCCAAGGUUGCCGGCAUCCUGGGUCAAUCCCCUCGGCAAUCGCAAACUUGACCCGGCUUGAAGUUAUACGGCUAGGGAACAACAGCCUUGUCGGGAAAAUUCCACAAUCGUUGUUCGCUUUUCCAGCAUUGAAAGUUCUUUCCCUAAAGAACAAUCAACUCUCUGGUCAUCUUGAAGACAUUCCUUUCCCUCUAUAUUCAUCCUUGUCUACUGUUGAGAUAAACGACAACCAGUUAACUGGCCAUAUACCCAAAUCAAUCCUUCAGCUUAAACAUCUUGAAUACCUCAACCUUGAAUCAAAUAGAUUGUCAGGCACAAUCAAACUAAGCCCUUUCUGGAGGUUGGAGAAACUCUUUUUUCUUAGUCUAUCCAAUAACAAGAUAUCAAUCGCCGACGAAGAAGGAGGUGAUUUUUUAAACUCUCUUCCUAACAUCUACCAGAUACACCUUGCAUCCUGCAAUCUCACAAAAUUUCCGGGUUCCCUGAGAUAUCUAGAUAAAGUUUCCGUUCUUGACCUUUCAAGUAAUCAAAUAAAUGAUGUUAUACCAAGUUGGGUAUGGGAGAAUUGGAAGAACCAGCUUGAGAGUUUGAAUCUCUCGCGCAACAUGUUCACUGCUUUGGAGAAGUUUCCUUCUCUUGUUCAUAUGCCAAAUCUAACUGUUCUUGAUCUCAGUUUUAAUAGGCUUCAAGGCAGUAUACCAAUACCCGUAACUGCAAUGCCUGGGAAAGUAUUGGAUUAUUCAAACAAUAACUUCUCUUCCAUUCUUCCUGACUUUGGAAGAUAUAUUAGAAGCUUCUACCUCAAUUUGUCCAAGAAUAAAUUAAAUGGUCAUGUACCAUCUUCCAUCUGCAGUGCAAGCAAUCUCAAUAUCUUGGACCUGUCUUACAACAAUUUUAGUGGAUCACUCCCAUCAUGCCUUAUAGGAAGUGGGAAACUAGCCGUGUUGAAGUUGAGAGAAAAUCAAUUCAAUGGGACGUUGCCUGAAAAUAUUAGAGAGGAAUGCAAGUUUCGAACAAUAGAUUUGAACAGAAAUCAAAUUGAAGGCGAACUACCAAGAUCAUUGUCAAACUGUCAACAGUUAGAGCUUCUUGAUGUUGGUAACAAUCAGGUCCGCGGUUCCUUUCCAUCUUGGUUGGGAAUUCUUCCAAAGCUUAGGGUCCUUGUCUUACGGUCCAACCAGCUCAAUGGAACAAUAAGGGAUCUCGAUGGUGACCGUGGAACCAUCAACCAGUUCCCAACUUUGCAAAUACUCUGUUUGGCUUCCAACAGAUUCUAUGGACACCUGCCAAAAGGAUGGUUCAAUAAAUUCAAAGCAAUGAUGGAAAAUGUCAAUGAGGAGGGACGAGUUUUAGGGUAUUACACAAACACGACACAUGGAUUUUAUCAAGACACUGUUACCAUCACACUUAAGGGAUCCGACCUUAUUUUCACCAAGAUUCUAACUACUUUCAAAGCAAUCGAUUUCUCAAAUUACUCAUUUGAUGGUCCUAUUCCAGAGUCAAUUGGGAAUCUUGUUUCGCUCCACGGGGUUAAUAUGUCAUCCAACAAUUUCACGGGACAAAUGCCAUCUAGCCUCAGUAACUUGUCUCAGCUGGAAUCGUUGGACCUCUCCUGGAACCGGAUUUCAGGGGAAAUCCCGCAAGUGCUGACCUCUCUAACCUCUCUUGCUUGGUUGAAUCUUUCAUACAACAACUUGGUUGGAAGAAUACCGCAGGGCAACCAGUUCUUGUCAUUUCCCAAUAGUUCAUUUGAAGGCAACGUGGGGCUAUGUGGAGGUCCACUCUCUAAACAAUGUGAGACUACAGAUUCAACUGCCUCAAGUGCAUUGGCCCCUCCUGAACCUUAUAAUUUGUGGCAGGAUAGACUUGAUGCCAUCCUUCUCUUCGCAUUUGUUGGCCUGGGGUUUGGAGUGGGCUUUGCAUCGGCAAUUACGUUCCGAAUGUUUUGCCACAUCAAAGGAUUGGACUGCAAGCAAUGGUUAAUUUCUUGCAUUCUCACUUACCUCCAUCUCCAAUAUAUAGCAACAAGGAAGUAUGAAUAGAAGAAGGUACAAGCUCAGGAAUUAUUAGAGAACAGUAUAUGAGUACAACUGGAGUUUAUCAUCCCCUGAUCAUCCUACAAGCAGAGUGAAAAUAAAGUCAAAUUCGAAGAAGCCUCCAUAGGCCGGUGUGUACAGCCCUGAUCUCAGGGACGACCUGUAUACAAGGAAAAAGACUCUGAAGUGCACGGCAGUGUGCUCCUCCAUGUCAUCAGAGGCUAGAACCACAAGCCCAAAU